GAAAACUGUUGAAACAGCUUAUGACCUGAUCUCCUCUGAGCUUAGAAACUAUGCAGGCUCAGGCUGGAGUAGAACUGGAUGGGAGACCAGCAGGGGAUUGUAGGUGCUGUUUGAU
rnacentral:rRNA from 1 species